CUCCUCUCCUCUCCCCUCUCCCCGUUCAUUUUCACCUUCAUUUCUCAUUUCUCAUUUCUCAUCUCCAUUUUCCAUCUUCCAUUGCUCGGAGAUAGGAUUUAAACCCAAACCCCUUCCUCCCCCCCCCCAAAACAAAAAAACCGCCCUUGAAGCGCAGGCUAGAGCUGGCGUUUCAUUCCAUCAUUAGCGUGUUGCGAAAAAAGCGCUCCCCCCACUUGGGCGGGUGGCCACUCGGGAUCGGAAAUGCAGACUAACUGCGCGUAGAACGGAAGCUGAGUGGAUCCUUUUUUUUUUAAAGGGGGAGCAGGGAACAGGGGGGAAGAAAAAUGGAAAAUGGAAAAAUGGAAAAAGGAAGAAAUAGAAUUCGGAAAUUCGAAAACAAUAGCGUUUGCGUUUGAGGAUGGGGGAGUUCAGUUAUAUAUAUACGAGUAGCAUAGAUCGAGCGGGUGUGGAUAGAGGAUACAUUGAUCGAUCGAUCGAUACAGGAUUGCAAAUUUGGUUGUCAUGUGUAACUUAUUACAUGUUAUGCCUUAUGUAUAUUCAAACACCAAGUUAAGUUAAGCCAGAAAGAAACAAUGAUACUGACACAGGUGGGACGCCGUGUCGAACAAUGGCGAUUUACCACAGGCAGGAGGCGGCCGAUUGGAACGGC
rnacentral:sRNA from 1 species